CAGAAUGUAACUGUCUGGCAGUGCAUGUUAGCUGGCUGUUGUCUCUGAUAUGUCAACAGCUGCUAGCUGCACUCCAUAUUGUUUCAUUCAAA
rnacentral:pre_miRNA from 1 species